UACGUAGGGUGCAAGCGUUGUCCGGAAUUAUUGGGCGUAAAGAGCUCGUAGGCGGUUUGUCGCGUCUGGUGUGAAAAUCCAGGGCUUAACCCUGGACCUGCAUCGGGUACGGGCAGACUAGAGUGCGGUAGGGGAGAUCGGAAUUCCUGGUGUAGCGGUGAAAUGCGCAGAUAAUCAGGAGGAACACCGGUGGCGAAGGCGGCUCUCUGGGACGGUACUGACGCUGAGACGCGAAAGCGUGGGGAGCGAACAGG
rnacentral:rRNA from 1 species